GGGGCUGUAGCUCAGCUGGCAGAGCGCCGCCAUGGCAUGGCGGAGGUCAGGGGUUCGAUUCCCCUCAGCUCCA
rnacentral:tRNA from 1 species